AGCCCCGCAGCUGUGGUCAGAAGGCGGGUGGCAGCCGAGGGAGGCCUGUUCCUGCCCCGCCUGCUGCAGGGCGGAGCUGAGCUCAGCAGGCCUGGAAGAGGCUUCUGGGGAAGCCCUGGGGGAGGCAGCUGGAGGGAGAGACAGUGAGGAAGCCGCGCCUGCUUCUCAGCCCGGGGCUGUACCAGACGAGGUGAUCUUCCUUAAUGAGGACGCGAUUCUCGAGUAGGAAAAGAGGAUCACGACGAGGGGCAGGACACCCAGCAGAGCCGUCAUAAAGUAAAUCAGCGUGUCGUUCAGGCCGGUGUCUGCGCAGGCGAGCCUGAGGAUGUGCGUCAGCUCACAGAAGAAAUGAGGCACUUCGAGGGCGCCACAGAAGUCCAGGGGCAUCAUCAGAGAGAGGUGAAGGAAGGAGGUCAUGAUGCCCACGAGCCAGGUGUUACAGAGCAUGGUGAGGGCACCCCAGAACCCCCACACCCGCCUCUUCUAAAUAGGUUCUGCCAUCCACCUCAUCAAGACAAAACUCUAGCAGUGUUUCAGGUUGCUUUCCUGAGCCGCCUCACGUCGUGCUGUCUCUACCCUCUCCAGACACAACUGCUCCACCACUUGCCUUCUGUGAUUUGGCCAAUGACGGCUCUCACCUUUGGAGAUGUUGGCCUUUACUUGUGAAAUGGUCAGGCCUGUUGUGCAAGUUUCCAUUACAUUAUAUUUCACAGACAUUUUACACACUUACCUUUAUUCCUUCUGAAAAAAAUCUAUCUUAGCAUGAAUGUUAAAUACAAAAACAAAAACAAAAACUGUCGAGGAAACAAAGGACUCAGCAGCAAUCCCUCGGAUUUAGUUGCUGUCACUUUGUUUAUCCCCUCAGUGUGUUUAAGAAACGCAAACAAUGUCAGUCCCUGGUUAUCAGUGUCACACAGUAACAUGUUCUGUUGAUAAGAAAAUUGUGUAUUCUGUUACUUUUAAUGUCUGUGGACCUGUGCCUGUGCGUGUCUGUGGGUAAGAGGCCAAUGUUGUUGACCUCUCUGUGUUCUCCUUGGCGUGUUCCCAUUAUUUUCUCCAUUACAGGACGAGCCAGGAGCAGAAAGCAUUUGCUUCGCGUCUAAGUCAUGCCUCGGGCGUUUACAAACACUGAUUUGUUCUCCUUUAGCCUCUCCCAGAAAGCAUUUGCCUUCAGUCUCCAGGCCAGUCGGAGGGAGAACAGCCAACAUUUAUGCUCAUCAAGCAUUUCUUCCUUUAUGCAUUUCUCAUUUGAUGAUUGGGGAAAGGAAGAUCGAUUUAAUUGCUCCAUGUCCUUCGUGUCUACCCCGUAAUCAUUUAACCAUGGUGGGGGGGUUUCAUUUCCAGUGUUUCCAACCAGUGUUACUGUGAAGAAAGGGCUGGUGAACAUUUUCACACGUCAAGAUUUUUAUGUUUCAAAGCAUUUCCUUAGGUCAUCUCCCAAAAACAGAACCGCUCUUUCUACUUAGAGAAAAUAAAAACAUUUUGAAUUCUGAAGGGUGGUAGGAACGAUUUUCUCGGGAGCG